rnacentral:rRNA from 1 species
GAACGCUGGCGGCGGCCUAACAAUGCAAGUCGAACGGUAACAUUUCUAGCUUGCUAGAAGAUGACGAGUGGCGGACGGGUGAGUAAUGCUUGGGAACUUGCCUUUGCGAGGGGGAUAACAGUUGGAAACGACUGCUAAUACCGCAUAAUGUCUACGGACCAAACGGGGCUUCGGCUCCGGCGCAAAGAGAGGCCCAAGUGAGAUUAGCUAGUUGGUAAGGUAACGGCUUACCAAGGCGACGAUCUCUAGCUGUUCUGAGAGGAAGAUCAGCCACACUGGGACUGAGACACGGCCCAGACUCCUACGGGAGGCAGCAGUGGGGAAUAUUGCACAAUGGGGGGAACCCUGAUGCAGCCAUGCCGCGUGUGUGAAGAAGGCCUUCGGGUUGUAAAGCACUUUCAGUUGUGAGGAAAAGUUAGUAGUUAAUACCUGCUAACCGUGACGUUAACAACAGAAGAAGCACCGGCUAACUCCGUGCCAGCAGCCGCGGUAAUACGGAGGGUGCGAGCGUUAAUCGGAAUUACUGGGCGUAAAGCGCACGCAGGCGGUUUGUUAAGCUAGAUGUGAAGGCCCCGGGCUCAACCUGGGAUGGUCAUUUAGAACUGGCAGACU